GUGAGUCACUGCGCCUGGCAGAAAAAUUAAAAAUUGAAAAGUUUAAGUCCUAUGCAACUUUAUGAGAACUGACAGAGACAGAAACUAAUGGAUUACCAAGCUACCAAAGUUCCACAAGGAAGAAAAACUCCCAGUGCAGAGCCAGGCAUUUUACUAAAUGGUGAGGGAAAUAAGAACUUGACAACUAUUGGGUCAACUUUUCGGUGAUGUUGCAUUAACAAGAGUUGCUUUUUUGGAUAUCUAUUUCAGUUCUAGCUUACUUUUGUGAAUACAGAUUUACAUAAACUUGCUGGCAUCAUUAAGAAUCACAAUGCCUUCUUCCUUUUAAUCUCUUAAAGCAUUUCUUCAUUAGUCCCCUUCUUGAGGCAAAAAAUAAUUUCAAAAGACUUCUGGUAGUAAAGUGUCCAUGAUGUCAAAAAUACUUAGUACCAUGAAACAGGAAACCAAGUAGUCCCAUAUCAGGAGUCAGAGAGAUUUGUAUUUACAAAGCUCCCUGAGCUACUCAAUAAAAAGUCAAAGCACAUCAGGAGCACACAAAGAUCUGCAUUUUUCAUGAGAUUCAUUUUAUAAAAAUCAAAAUUUAUUGUUCACUUCCUAUGUGCCAGAAACCAAACAAGAAUUUUCACAUAUCUAAUUGAAUCUUCAAAAACACCUAUAAAAUAGAUAUUAUUAUUAUCAUCAUCAUGAUUUUACAGAUAAGAAAAUUGAAAGUUAGAAAUGUAACUUUAUGAAGGUCAUAUGGACAGUAAUUGGUGGAACUGAGAUUUGAGUCAAGGUUUAUGUGACUCCAAAGUCCAUUCUCUUGACUUAUACAUUACAGUAGUUCUAUAAAAGGCAAGUCAUUUGCUCACCUAUUCUAUUCCCCAAACUCUCUUUCAAUCAAUUUUAUGAAGAGCCUUUUUAAACCCACAGUUAUUACUCAGGUAAGUUUGAGGAACGUUCAGCUGCCACCCUGCUGCAACUUAAAUAAUUUCCUAAGUCUCUACUACGACUGCUGCCCCUAUUGCAGAAAAUAAAACAGGAAAAACUUCUAGAAAUUAGAAUUCUCGUUUUAUUGAAACAUCACACAGGCCAAUGUGAUGAGACAAUGACUAAGGAGCAACUGCCUUUGCUCUUCUGGAUUCCGUGGUGGGAACUAACUUUGGAUCCUCACCCUGCAGGAUCCCCUGCUAUAUGACCCUACUUGCCCAAUACUCCACUUCAUCAAGGUGAAGUGACCCACCAAGAGAGACUUUCAGGGUCUGGGCAUUACCAGGUAGUUUCUAAAUGUUUUUCAGAUAAAAGAUGCCUAUUUUAUUCUGGCUGAAAGCAUGAACAGAAUAAACAAUGAGCUCUGUGAAGAAUGUUCUAUGAACCCGAAUCAAACUCAAACUCCUGUGUCACUCCGGUACGCCUGAUCACUGGAUAUAACCACGUAUUGGUCCAGAACCUCCCUCUCUGUUACUACUCCCUUUGGAUUUAUCCAGUAGUCUUAGACGUCACCAGGGCCAAGCCAUGCAUAUAUAGAUUGAAAUGUUGUUUUCAAAACCUACUCAAGCUAUCUCUUGAUGAACAAGAUUAGUACCAUCUGAUUACAACCCUGAAGAGUCUAGAUUCCUUAUUCUGCAAAAUGGAUUUAUUGUAUCUCAAGGCACUGUGAAGUUUGCAGUAGCAUGUAUAGGCAAAAAGGAAAGUCCAAAGAGAGGAAAAGAAAGCAGGAGAGAUCUGAAAUGACACAAGAAGUGACUCAGAAUGGGAAGAUUGUGCACUCCUUGUUGUCCCCUAAUGCACAUGGAAGUAUGCAACAGAAGCUGUGAAAAUAACCCAGAGAGAAAGAAAAAAAUGAUGUAAAUUUAAACAUAGCAUAUUCUGGAAACAGUAUGCUUAUGGAACAGCCAGAGAGAUUUUCAAAACUUGAUCAUCUAAAUGCAGAGAACAGUUUCAAGGCUCUUUCUCACUUUCUCAUUUGAUUCCUGCAAUUGAAGCCAUCUGCUAUGCUGUGUCCUGUUCUUUGGAUCAGCACAUAUGACAAGGAAGUGAAAGUAGUCUCUGUCCAACAAUCAGUCUAACAGCCUGAGAAGAACUGAAUUCUGUCAAUGACCACGUAAGCUUCGAAGCAGACCUUUCGCUUGUUGAGCCUUCAGAUAGACAGCAGCCCUAGCUGACAUCUUAACUGCAGUCUUGUGACAGGUCCUCAGACAGGAUAAGCCAAAUUAUACCCAGACUGCUGAUCCACAGAAAAUGAGAGGAAACUCCAGGAUUCUAAAAGUAAAGCCCUAUGGAAAUAAAUCAAUAACAUUUCAAAUGAAGAACCAAAAUCGGGAAAUGCAAAUCACAACUCUAACAUCAACAUUAACUUAUAGCCAGACAAUUAUGCAUUUCUUUAGUCAACAACUAGCUGCUAAUUAUUUACUAUGUGUCAAGUCUUAUAAUGCUGAAGUGAAGAAAAGAGAUUUAAAGUCAUGGAUGUGGUUUCCUUUGGACCUUAAAUUCUAGCACAAAAUAUGAUAAACAUUGUAAUCAAUGCUAUCAUGUACAGGUAUGUGGUGUUAUGUGAAUAUAUGGGAAUACCUAAUUCGUAAACUGGGUUUAGAAAAUUCUUGCAGAAGAAAGUGGCAUCCAAACAAAGAACCAAGAACGAAUAAAAAUUAUUAUAGAUAAAGUGAAGCGGGUCUAGUGGAAUGACAAAAUUACUGAGUGUCAAGAGGUGGAAGGACUUGGUGAAUAAUUUGAAAAGGAACCAUCGGAGGAUGAUGGCCACAUUUCUGGCUCCAGCCAUCAGUAUGAACUUAUGGUUGAAGGCAUUCUCAGGGGUUAACAAGAAUUCUGGACAGAAAUAUGGCUAUAAGUAAGUAUUAAUCAGGCUGCACUUUGACCCACUUCCUUGUAACUGAAAGUCACUAGAUCCUGAAUAUUUGUAUCCCCAUUCCCACUGUUCUUAUAGAUAGAAUCUCUGACAUCAGAAUCAUAAGGCUUUUCUUUAAGAAUUGCUUAAAGAUGUUCUUCGGAUCCCCAAUUCCAGUGAAACAGCUGAUGACAACCAUUUUGAAGACCCCCACAGAGGAACAGAAUCAACAUGAGAUGGUUUCUUCCUCUCCCCAUCCUAUGACUUCCCCCUGUACUCUUCCACCAAUUAACAAUCUCCACACUUUGACCCACUCCAAAACCCUUAAAAACCCAGCCCCAAACUACCUGGGGAGAUGGAUUUGAGGUUCCUUCCCAUCUUCUCCUUCGAUGGCCCAACCAUUAAACCUCUUUCUCUGCUGUAACCUCGUGUCUCAGCAUAUUGACUUUUUGCACAUAUUGGGCAAAAAAAACCUAUUAUGGUUACUUGAUUGUGAUAACAUCAAAAGUACACUGAAUUUGGAGUCAGGAGACCUGAAUUCUAAUCCUAGCUUUGACAUUAAUUAGCUACGUGGAUAUAGGUAACUCACUUCACUUCUGAAGGCCUCAAAGCCCUCCAAGGAUUUUGAGAUAGGCAAUUUUUCCCUCAACUUAGCAUUAUCAUUUCAUGGUUUUAUGAUGCAACUUUUACAGCAUCACAAUGUUCCAUUAAUAAAAUUAUAUUGGUUUUUCCAUAUUUUUAAAUCUAAACCUUCAAAUAACUAUUUGUUUUCAUUUUUUUCUGGUGUGUUGCCUUUGUCUUUCCCCUUUAUUCUUUCAUGUUUUGCUUACCUAAGGAAAAGCUUACAAGAAGGAGCUGUGUCAACAGUAGUUGGUAUGGAUCCACACUAACUUUUAUUUGGGGUUUUAACUAAGAGAACUUAAUGUAUGACUUAUUGUAAAAUUAUAAAAAUCAAAUCAAGUUUUAUAACAACAGCCAUAGAAUGGUCUUUUUUUUUGCAAAACCAAAGAUACAUAUACAUAAAUGAAUAUGAUUUAUGUAGAAAAUGAUAUUAAAGGAUACAUACAAAAUUAUUGAGAAGCAAUUAGCCCUGGAAGAGAAAAAUCUGAGCUAGAGGGGUAGUGAGGCUAAAAUUUGUACUAUAAACUGUCCUAUAUUAUUUAAUUUGGUAUAACAAGAGUGUAUUAUUCUUAUAAUAGGAAUAUUACUUUAAACAUUUUUAUUAACUGAUAUUUAUUUUAUGUAUAUAAGGUUUUUUUUCAAUGUGGCUUUGUAAUCUACCACAUACUGGACUUAAAGUUAUAAACAGGAGAGAUGACUGAAGUGGAGGAAGGUUCAUUAGCCUCACACAGGAAAUGCCUUGAAGUAGACCGUGGGUGAAUCUGUUUAAGCUGUGACCCAAGCAGAAAUACUUUCUUCUCAAAGUGAUUUGAAACUAUUAUUCUCAUUGAAUCUAUGAUAAGAAAACUAAUUAUGAUAACAGACAUACGGUUGGAAGAGGAAACACAGGUAGAGCUGUCUUUACAUUAGAGAAAGAACUGAGAGAGCUAGGCAAAAGCCAUCAUUGGGGGUAACAGAACACAGCAGGGGGAAGCAUUCUGCAGAGCAUAUUGGAACAAAGCAAGUCUCUCCAAAAAAAUCUAAAGAAAAUAUUUUCAGAAAGUGCACAAGGCAAAGACUAAUGGCUCCCUGCAGAUAUUCAUAAGGAUAUAAGAAAGAAGAGGCUUUCCAAGAAAAUAUAACAUAUUUCAACAACAACAAAAGACUGGGCUAGAUUUGAGACACACUAAGAGUCAUUAACAACUAGAAGUUCUUAUCAUAACACUAUCUAUACUGUUUACAAUUGUGUCACUUUAUGCUUAUAUAAAGUAUAAAGAGACCACUUUACAGAAUAUGGGUUCAGUCAUUGUCAGGGUAUCAGAGUAUCUUUUGUUUUCCUUUAUUAUAUUGUAAGGACAACAUAAAGUAACCCAAAGAGAAAGGAGAGAACAGCUUAACCUCUCUAAACACUGCACAUUUUGGAAGUCUAAUCCCCUCUCCCUGUCCCAAAUCCUCUCAUUAUAUCUAAGCCCAGUGGAAGUAUGCUGGUCCUCACAGGCUGGCAGUUUUCUCAACCUGCAAUUAGAGUGUUUAGCUCUUUUUGCCAGCUACAGCUUUAGUCAUCAAUUCCAGGAAACCCUGACACCAAUUCACUGAAUAUCUAAACAUACAUUACCUACUUGAUCAUCUAUAUUCCCAGAUGCAAUGAACAUAUUUUCUUGUUAUCUUUUUAAGUCUUCUAAGUUAUAUUGUGCACAAUUUAAAUACACUUGCCUUAGUUUCUGAGACAGCCGUUUCUCGGUUUUCUAUCUUUCCCAGUUAUUUCUUGCCAAUCUCCUUUGUUAGCUCCUCCUCUUCAACAUGAAUUCUAAAUGUGUUUGCUUCUAUAUCAUAUUUUCUGCUCUAAUAUACCCUGUCUAUAUGUUAUUACAUCCUAAGAAAAAAACAAUUCCUAUCAUAGGUCAAACUUAUGCUCUAAAUUCCAAAAUCAUAUACCCAAUGGCUGAUAUAAUAUAACUAUGAAAUGAGCAAAUUCAAUAUCUAAAGGCCACUAAAUUGGAAUGAGACUUCUACCCGAAACAGAUUCCUCCAAGUCUUCCUUAAAUCCAUAAGUUACUUUCACACACACACAAUGCCCCAAAACAAGAAACCCCAAAGCCACAUUUGUUUCCCAAUUUCCUUCAAUCCCACAUUCAUUCCCAGCAAUUUCAGUCAAUUUUACCUCUAAAAUAUGUUUUGAAUUUGUUUACCUCUUCUGCAAUUCUCUAGUGCAUUACUAAUAUAAAUACAAUGCAAGCAACAUAUGUAAUUUUUAACUUGCUAGUAGUCAUAUUAAAAAUAAUUUGUGUAAGUCAA
rnacentral:lncRNA from 1 species